rnacentral:tRNA from 1 species
UAGGCAGAAGCCAGCUGGUUUAGGCGUAUAGCUGUUAACUAUAAUGUUGUGGGAUCGAGGCCCAUCUGUCUAG